AGUAUUCUGGACUUUGGUCCUCAGUUGAGAUUCAGGGUGGCUGGAAAUAAAUUAGUAGUCCAGGAUGGGAUUUCCUGCAAUCAUUAUAUAAUUGUUUCCGUUGUUUGAAUAUUAUUUGAUGCUGAGAUUAGAAAUGUUUGUCUAGGUUUUCUAUUUCCUUCCCUUCCUACCUAGCUGCUGUUAAACAUCUAUCUUGCCAGAAGUUUCUGCUAUGGAGGGAUAAAUUAAGCUGCCAUCUCAAGCCUCUGUUGCACGACACCGAACCUCAAGCAGGUUGACGACGUUGAAGAAGAUACAGUCGAUGACAUCGAGCCCUCUCGAACUUCACCCUAAUUUUCCACUAUCAAAUGAUGGAUUUGACCAGCCAUCUUCAUGUUCGGGGCGACUUACUGCAGCGGUUACUAUGAUGAAGAGUUUUGAAGUCCAUUCUUUGUCAACCCCUAUCGAGCUGUUAGUCUCUGCAACAAGGUUUUCAAGAAGCGAGAGUCCUGGCAAAAGCUUGCAGUGCUCAUCCGGCAGCAUUCAACCAUCAGAACUCCUCUCCUUUGCAAAAUCUCAAGUAAUAC